CCUACGGGUGGCAGCAGUGGGGGAUAUUGCACAAUGGGGGAAACUCUGAUGCAGCGACGCCGCGUGAGGGAAGACGGAUUUCGGAUUGUAAAGCUCUAUCAUCGGGGAAGAAAAUGACGGUACCUAACUAGGAAGCCCCGUCUAACUACGUGCCAGCAGCCGCGGUAAUACGUAGGGGGCAAGCGUUGUCCGGAUUUACUGGGUGUAAAGGGAGCGUAGGCGGGCGAGAAGUCUGAAGGUAAAAUCUCAGGGCCUACCCGCGAGCGGCAUUGGAAAAUUCUUGACUGGAGUAAAGUAGAGGCAGGCGGAAUUCCUAGUGUAGCGGUGAAAUGCGUAGAUAUUAGGAGGAACACCAGUGGCGAAGGCGGCUUACUGGACUUUAACUGACGUUGAGGCUCGAAAGCGUGGGGAGCAAACAGGAUUAGAUACCCGUGUAGUC
rnacentral:rRNA from 1 species